ACGCACGCUGGCGGCGUGCCUCAUCCAUUCAAGUAGAACGCUGAAGGAGGAGCUUGCUUCUCCGGAUGAGUUGCGAACGGGUGAGUAACGCGUAGGUAACCUGCCUGUUAGCGGGGGAUAACUAUUGGAAACGAUAGCUAAUACCGCAUAAGAGUAGAUGUCGCAUGACAUUUGCUUAAAAGGUGCAACUGCACCACUACCAGAUGGACCUGCGUUGUAUUAGCUAGUUGGUGAGGUAACGGCUCACCAAGGCAACGAUACAUAGCCGACCUGAGAGGGUGGUCAGCCACACUGAGACUGAGACACGGCCCAGACGCCUACGGGAGGCAGCAGGAGGGAAUCUUCGGCAAUGGACGGAAGACUGACCGAGCAACGCCGCGGGAGUGAGGAAGGUUGUCGGAUCGUAAAGCUCUGUUGUAAGAGAAGAACGAGUGUGAGAGUGGAAAGUUCACACUGUGACGGUAUCUUACCAGAAAGGGACGGCUAACUACGUG
rnacentral:rRNA from 1 species